rnacentral:lncRNA from 1 species
UUUUCUGGUGGGCUGCCAGAACAUGUAACUGUAGCCAAAACACUUUAAAGCCCAAAAUAUGCCACUGCCGACCUAACGUUCUUCUUCACAUCGCCGGCCACCCCUUACUCUUCUACCUCCCCACCGCCGUAACCUCUCUCCUACAUCUAUACCACCGACCACCCCAUAUCUCACCCCCCUCACCGCCGUAAACUCCUUACACCCUCACCACUUAUCACCGAAAAUUCCCCUUCCCCCACCACAAUUCCACCGAUUACUUCCAUUAUCCACUAAAACUACCUCAAUUUUUUUUCUUCUGCAGCCCUUUGACUUUUGAACCCCAAAUAAAGGCCUUUUAAUUUAAUCUACCUCCACUAUCACCUUUUCUUCUUCCCCAUUGCCGUAAAACCUCCAUAACCACCUACAAAUUCAUCACCAUUACACAUACCACCCUCAUAAUGUCCGAUUUUAACCCAAAUUCCACCAUAUAAAACCAAAAACUCGAGUUCUACUGUGGAGCUGAAGCUCAACCGAAAAUACCUCCAAUUUUUCUUGUUUCUCUCAAAUCCAAGUGAAAGAUAUGAGUUUGCGGCUUGGGAAUGGGUUGAGAAUAUUGGCAUUUGCAGGUUGUGGGUGGCUCGGUUUGGGAAUGCCAGGUGUAGGAACUUCAAGUGGGACGCAUGCAGGUGAUGAGGAGUAGGGCGAGGAUGACAGCUUAUAUCUUUUGUUUAUUUUUAUCUUUAUGCUGUUUUUGAUCCUCGUUUGUUGGUUUGUACUUAAAUACGUUAAACAGGUUGGUUGGGAUUUGGGGGAUGGUUGACUUUUGGUUGUUGGAUGUUCGCACUAACACUUAGUAGCUUACAUAUUAUCUUUUGCUAGUGUUUGGUGUUUGGUGUUUGCUUGAUUAGGUUGGUAUUAGUAGCCGCUUUCGUUCGCGUGUCCGAGGUUAGAGUUGUUUGCUGAGCGCGUUUCGAAUUGGAGGGCUUAUGUGGAAACGACUGGCACUUUGACAGUCUCACAUACUCAGCUAAGUCGUUUUCCAUUUUGUUGUUGUUUGUUUUUUAUUUAUUUCUUUUGUAGUUUUUGUUUUUAGGUAGUUGUUGAGUCGUAUUUUCGUUCUUGCAUUAGGGACAAUGCAAUCUCUAAGUGUGGGGAUGGGAUACAUGUAAAUAGUCGAGUCUUAAUUAUUAAAAAAAAUUGAAAAAUCCAAAAAAAUUGAAAAAUCAGAAAAUGUCUUUCGAAUAAAAAAAGAAGUUUGCAUUUUUAAACGGAAAAUGAUAGAAAAGAUGAAUUUUUGCUCGGGUUGAAAUAAUAAUAAUAUGAGAUUUAAAUAAAUCGAGCUUGCGUCUAGUUAGGGAUAUGUGGAUAGGCCCGGGUUUGGUUUUAAGUUCCUUUGAACUAAUAUACCUUAAUUGUCGGUCUGCUAGUGGGUUUUCGCCUGGGAAAUAUGGGAAAUCAAAACUGCCAAUAAGAGUAUAAGGGGCACCGUUAUAAGUUAAAACUGUUAGAGUUUGUGAUCAUGAAAAAAAAAAGAAUAAAAAGUGAGCUAGAAACUAAAUGAAAGUAACACAGGUCUAUGUAAUCCGAGUUGGGGAUAGCGACUCUACAGCCGGAAUGCCUCUGGGAUGUGUGAAAUCGAAUUGCCGAUUAAAAGUACCGAAAGCUAAGUAAUAUGUGGUUGGGGAUAGCGACUCUACAGCCGGAAUACCUCUUGGUUAGGGAAAGCAUCGUCUAGACUCACGAGAGAAAAAAAAAAAGAGCAAGAAGCAAAGCAAAAAUAGAAAAAAAAAUGGAAAAAAGAAAAAAAUUUGAUUGUAAACUCUUUUGGUUUUGAUAUAAGACGGUUGGGAAUUGGUCAAAUGAUCGUUCCUUUAGUCCUAUAAGCUUGAGGUGGGAGUAGGUGGACCGUAAAUUCUGGUGUGAGACCCUGGGUGGAUUGACCGCACUUAAAUUAAAUUCACAUGAUAAGGGCUUAGGAUUGGAUUCGGGUUUAAGGGGACAAGUAUCGCGGCUAAUGCAAGCUUUGGUUUUAAUUAAAUAUACCUAUGCUUUUGACCCGAGUGAUUAUUUGUCUCUGAUUCUGUUGCAUAAUUCUUUUUCGAGGACGAAAAAAGAGUAAGUGUGGGGAUGUUUGAUGUAUUGCAAAAUAUAUCAUUUAUUCGUGUACAGUUUGUAUAGUUUUCGUUAUAUUUAGCUUUGUUUUUCGUUAGAAUAUGCAUACUAUUGAUUAAAUCAUGUUUCGCAGGUCUUGAUGUUUAAAUAUGCGAGAAAGCGAGUAAAACGAGUUAAAAUACUGAAGGGUCAAGUCUUGGAGCAUGUUGGAAAGGUCGAGGAGUUGAAAUAGAGUUAAAGAGCUGAAAAAUCACUCUCUGGCACCCCGUGAGGAGUUUCUGGCACCCGGCGAGAGUCUGAAGGUAGUACAUGAGCUGAAAAACAAGGUGGCACCCCACCACCCAGUCCCUGAUCUUGUGGCGCCCAGCCAGAAGCCUGUGGCUGGCAAUUAUUACGAAUUUAUUAAGGGUUUGUUAUGGAAAGUGAUAUAUAAUCAUCUUAAACUUGAAAAAAAAAACACUAAUUUCGAUUGGAGGACAUCUUGGGCGACUUGUGGAGCAUCCUUGGAGCAAUUUUGGAGUUCUUGAAGCAUAGGAAUCAUCGGUACAAGUUCGGGGAAGAAGACUUGAAGAUUUAAUCGGGUUUUCUAGUUCUUUAUUCUUAACUUUUCUUACGAAACUUGUUACAAUGAAUUCUUUGUUGAACAUCUUUGGAUUGUUUUCACGAUUUAACAUGCUUAGCUAAUUUUAUUAACCACCUAGACUUGAUGAAU